rnacentral:rRNA from 1 species
ACGCUCGACACCUACGGAGGCAGCAGUGGGGAAUAUUGCACAAUGGGGGAAACCCUGAUGCAGCGACGCCGCGUGAGCGAAGAAGUAUUUCGGUAUGUAAAGCUCUAUCAGCAGGGAAGAAGAAAGACGGUACCUGACUAAGAAGCCCCGGCUAACUACGUGCCAGCAGCCGCGGUAAUCUGAGCGGGCUGGCAAGGC